CAGCCGCCACGGUAAUACGAAGGGUGCAAGCGUUACUCGGAAUUACUGGGCGUAAAGCGUGCGUAGGUGGUGGUUUAAGUCCGUUGUGAAAGCCCUGGGCUCAACCUGGGAAUUGCAGUGGAUACUGGGUCACUAGAGUGUGGUAGAGGAUAGUGGAAUUUCCGGUGUAGCAGUGAAAUGCGUAGAGAUCGGAAGGAACAUCUGUGGCGAAGGCGACUAUCUGGGCCAACACUGACACUGAGGCACGAAAGCGUGGGGAGCAAACAGGAUUAGAUACCCGAGUAGUCCCUGUCUCUUAUAU
rnacentral:rRNA from 1 species